AAGUCGAGCGGACAGAAGGGAGCUUGCUCCCGGAUGUUAGCGGCGGACGGGUGAGUAACACGUGGGUAACCUGCCUGUAAGACUGGGAUAACUCCGGGAAACCGGAGCUAAUACCGGAUAGUUCCUUGAACCGCAUGGUUCAAGGAUGAAAGACGGUUUCGGCUGUCACUUACAGAUGGACCCGCGGCGCAUUAGCUAGUUGGUGGGGUAAUGGCUCACCAAGGCGACGAUGCGUAGCCGACCUGAGAGGGUGAUCGGCCACACUGGGACUGAGACACGGCCCAGACUCCUACGGGAGGCAGCAGUAGGGAAUCUUCCGCAAUGGACGAAAGUCUGACGGAGCAACGCCGCGUGAGUGAUGAAGGUUUUCGGAUCGUAAAGCUCUGUUGUUAGGGAAGAACAAGUGCGAGAGUAACUGCUCGCACCUUGACGGUACCUAACCAGAAAGCCACGGCUAACUACGUGCCAGCAGCCGCGGUAAUACGUAGGUGGCAAGCGUUGUCCGGAAUUAUUGGGCGUAAAGGGCUCGCAGGCGGUUUCUUAAGUCUGAUGUGAAAGCCCCCGGCUCAACCGGGGAGGGUCAUUGGAAACUGGGAAACUUGAGUGCAGAAGAGGAGAGUGGAAUUCCACGUGUAGCGGUGAAAUGCGUAGAGAUGUGGAGGAACACCAGUGGCGAAGGCGACUCUCUGGUCUGUAACUGACGCUGAGGAGCGAAAGCGUGGGGAGCGAACAGGAUUAGAUACCCUGGUAGUCCACGCCGUAAACGAUGAGUGCUAAGUGUUAGGGGGUUUCCGCCCCUUAGUGCUGCAGCUAACGCAUUAAGCACUCCGCCUGGGGAGUACGGUCGCAAGACUGAAACUCAAAGGAAUUGACGGGGGCCCGCACAAGCGGUGGAGCAUGUGGUUUAAUUCGAAGCAACGCGAAGAACCUUACCAGGUCUUGACAUCCUCUGACAACCCUAGAGAUAGGGCUUUCCCUUCGGGGACAGAGUGACAGGUGGUGCAUGGUUGUCGUCAGCUCGUGUCGUGAGAUGUUGGGUUAAGUCCCGCAACGAGCGCAACCCUUGAUCUUAGUUGCCAGCAUUCAGUUGGGCACUCUAAGGUGACUGCCGGUGACAAACCGGAAGAAAGGUGGGGAUGACGUCAAAUCAUCAUGCCCCUUAUGACCUGGGCUACACCGUGCUACAAUGGAC
rnacentral:rRNA from 1 species